CUUUUUCUCCUUUGUUUUUUCCUUGUUCACCGAUCACUUCACCCAGGCAUCGCUUACCUCUGAAGAGAGCAUUCAGAUGGCCAUCGAAUCAGAGUUCAACCCUGUAACAACAAUCGGAGCUCUUAAUUGUCCAAAGGUUAGCUUUUCUGCUUUGAGAGACCAUGGUGAACAGAAAAGGAAGAGAGGCAAGAGUGGUGGUGGGAGAGCCUCCAAGAAGAGUGUGAGGGCCAUCUAAAAAAGCUACUAGAAGAAGUGUUGCCACUGCUGAAAUUUUUAGGCUAGAUUCCAAAAUUGUUUUCUGUAUAUUUUGUUAUUCUUUUGUUUUUUAUUUUUUUUUACAAAAUUUUGUAAUGAUCAUGAGACAACUUGUUCUUAUUGUCUUUGUAAAGUAAACAUGUAUUAGAUCGGUUAUGAAGUUAUAUAAAAUGACAGUGGUUUGAACAA